UUUUUUUUUUUUUUUAAGAUUUUAUUUAUUCAUGAGAGAUACAGAGAGAGGGAGAGAGACAGAGACACAGGCAGAGGGAGAAGCAGACUCCAUGCAGGGAGCCUGACGUGAGACUCAGUCCCAGGACCCCAGGAUCAGGACCUGGGCCGAAGGCGGUGCUAAGGCGGUGCUAAACCCUGGAGCCACCAGGGCUGCCCCUGCAGUAUGUUUUUAGAGCAAAGGUUGUCCUGGGGUCUUUGGACCUCUAGGGGUCCAUGAAUGGGCUUCAAAGGUUCCUGAACUCCCUAUAAUUGUGACCAAACCUUUUUGUGUAUGUGUGUCUUUCUAGGGAGAAGGUCUGUGGUUGUGGUUAUAAAAAGAGAUCCAGAGCCCCAAAACGUUACAGUUGUAUGUUUUUAUUAAAUAAAAUGGGAGUUAGAAUAAUUCUUACAAGGAAAAAAAAAAGAAAAUAGAGAUCUUUGUGCCCAUUACUUGCUGUUUAAACUUGUCUUUAGUCUAAACAUAUGGUCUUAGAGGUGCAAAAAUACUUCCAUUUUGUUGCCAUAAUAAAGUAUUGCCUAUUAGUUGAUAAACCAUGCACACACAUAAAGGGCUUGACAUGCUAGUCCUGGGUUCAUUGUGGCUGUUUUUAAAUUAUAUUUAAAAAUUUAGAACAGAUAGAUUGAUGGUCAAUAAGCAGAGAUUUGAUCUUGACAACCAGCUCUUGGAGCAAAUGGGUCACUCAGCUCCCCUCUCUUACUGGUCUCCAGCAAAUCUCAAAUGUGACUGAGAGGUAAUCAUUCUAAGAAAAUGUAUUUUUGCCUUGGCCAAGCAGCAGAGCAUGAUAGGAAAAGGUUUCUCAUCAAAGCAGACUUAAGUUCAAAUCUGGGUUUUUCAAUUGCUGUAGUUGCUUAACCUACUUGACCCUCCAGUUCCUCACGUGGAUAAAGCCUACUGCAGUAGAAGCAUAAAGAGGCAGGAAUGAAGUUCCCUGUGUAAAAAAAAAAAAUCUGAACCCCUCAUUGGGCCUAUAUGAAGGCCUUGGAAGCUAGAUGCAGUAACCACUAAUACACAUAAGAAUGAACAUGUAUAAACAUGGUACAUUGUAAUGAUAUAUAUUAUUUCUCAAUAAUUGAAACUUUUUUGAAAAUUAGGUUUUCAAAAAUGAGUUAGGAUUAAGCGUCCUUACCUUGUAGAUAUCCAGGGGGAAAGUUGAAGGAAGAUAGUGGUGCGCUUGGUAAAGCUGGAGACAUUGGUGCUGGGCAGAAAGAGACAGUAGCAGCCCACCAACAGCAUAGUUGUCUCUGUGUAAGACUCCUCUUAACUCUUACUCUUCACUUGUAAUUUAAAUGAAAACCAAUGCAGGUACCCAAUUGUGGAGGCAUUUCUAAGAUGCCAGAAUUAGACAGCCAAAGUUAUAGGUAUAGCUUCCACUAAUGUGUUGUGUACAGCCAGCAGGAGGAUUUGACUCAUAGGCUGACCUUUUGCCUAGAAAAAAUGUUAGACUCCUAAGUUCUAGGGGUCUGUGGCAUCACCAAGCCGCCGCCGCCACUACCACCACCACCACCACCACCAUCACCAUCACCACCACCACCACCACCACCACCGCACAUGUGUUGCCAUUUGCCACCUCAAGCAUUCCAUACUUUUGGUAUGGCAGCAUUUUCCAAGGCCCCUGUCUUCCUCCAAUAGGAUGAAACUCCCAUCAGGUUAGUUGUUCCUAGUUAUGGUGAGCGGCCUUCCCUUCUUAGCACAUGCAUUAUUAUAUCACCAGGAAAUUUUAUUUAUUGCUAAAAAUGUUCUCACCUUGCCCAGUUUUCCAUAAGGCUUAAUAUUUGAACCCUGUCCUGUGUGAUGGUUUUGAAAGGAAUCUAUGCUUUUGGAGCUGUCUCAUGCUUCAAGUUCCUGUUGUUUCCUUAUCCUGGAAGGGAUGUAACUGAUGCUAGGCUCUCAAGCUGCUAACAAGACAUUCUUACCUUAAGGAAAUCUGUAUUCGGACUCCCCCCUCCCCCCCAAUUUCUGCAUGAUGUUUUGUUAAAUUAAACACACAAAGAGUCCUCUUGUGCUCUAACCCCUGGAGAUUAGUUCCAGGAUUGAUGUGUACAGCGCAUGUAGGUGUAUAUGUCUGUGUGUGAUUUCAUCUGGCCAUCCCUGAAGUUCUGAGGGCUGCUGCUUGUAGUUUUACCUUUUCUCUCUCUCCUGACCCUUCUCCCUUGGUCAUUGUAUGGGAUGCAGAUUUGGUGACCUGGCAAUUGCUGUAGCUGAUUGGUUUAUUUUUGCCUCCCUUCCUGCCUUUUAACAUUCUUUACUAAUUUGCAGCAAGUUGUUUUUUUUUUUUUUUAGUUUAACUUCAAAACUACAUUAUGCUGAAGUUAUUGGGUAUUUUAGAAUAUUCCCCCUUCUAUAUGUACACAUAAUAGCAGAGUUACGCAUCAGUAUUUUAGAUAUUUAGAGAUAAGAUGCAGUUUUUAAAAUACUUUAUGUAGACAGUAGUAAAACAUGUUAUACUUAAAUAUUAAUAGUUUCCUUUUUUUUUUUUUCUUAAGCUAAGUUUGGUACCUAUUUCUUAGAUGACAAUUUGGGCAAUGUGCAUCCAAAGUCAUAAAAUGGCAAAUAAUUGGUCAAAUGUGCAUAUAGAUGUGUGUACCAGACUGCUCACUGCCCCAUUUUCUAGUAAUAGGAAACAAGAAAGUAAUGCAAGUGCCUAUAAUAAAGGAUUAAGUCUAUCAGGACCUGCCCAUGCAGGGAAACACUGUGCAGUCUUUAGAAAGGAUGAUGCAGGGAUUACCUGAUUGGCUCAGUUGGUAGAACAUGUGACUUUUGAUCUCGGGGUUGUGAGUUUGAACCUCGAAUUGGGAGUAGAGAUUACUUAAAAAAAAUCUUUAAAAAAAAUGAUGCAGGUCAACAUUCAUUGACAUGGAAUGAUGUUUAGAAAAAAGAGGGUAGCAUGAGAAUAUAUAUAAUUUGUGACUAUUUAUUUAUUUUUAAAGAUUUUAUUUAUUUAUUCAUGAGAGACACAGAGAGAGAGAGGCAGAGACAUAGGCAGAGGGAGAAGCAGGCUCCUCACAGGGAGCCUGAUGUGGGACUCGAUCCCAGGACCCCGGGAUCAUGCACUGAGCCAAAGGUGGACGUUCAACCGCUGAGCCACCUAGGCGUCCCAAUGUGUGAGUUUUUAAAUGAUUUUUUAAUUUUUUUAAAAUUUUUUUAAUGAUUUUUUAAUCAAAAGUACUGUGUAUAGAAACCUAAAGGAAAAUAUCUGAAAGGGUAUAUACCAAGUAACAGGAACUUGUUAUCUGUAGGUAAUAAAGUUGUGGGUGAUUUUUUAAAAAAA
rnacentral:lncRNA from 1 species